UGCCUGGCGGCCGUAGCGCGGUGGUCCCACCUGACCCCAUGCCGAACUCAGAAGUGAAACGCCGUAGCGCCGAUGGUAGUGUGGGGUCUCCCCAUGCGAGAGUAGGGAACUGCCAGGCAU
rnacentral:rRNA from 11 species